rnacentral:rRNA from 1 species
UACGUAGGGGGCUAGCGUUGUCCGGAAUCAUUGGGCGUAAAGCGCGUGUAGGCGGCCCGGUAAGUCCGCUGUGAAAGUCGGGGGCUCAACCCUCGAAUGCCGGUGGAUACUGUCGGGCUAGAGUGCGGAAGAGGCGAGUGGAAUUCCUGGUGUAGCGGUGAAAUGCGCAGAUAUCAGGAGGAACACCAAUUGCGAAGGCAGUUCGCUGGGACGUGACUGACGCUGAGACGCGAAAGCGUGGGGAGCAAACAGG